rnacentral:lncRNA from 1 species
CUGUGGUUCUCCCAGAGUGUUCUAGAUGCCCUGGGGUCUUGAGCCACUGCAGGGGGUCACCAGGCCCGGGAUCCAGACACAAAGCUAUCACGGGACACUUUCUCCUCCGCUGCUGGCUGUCACCUGCUCAGAAGAACCCUCCUGUCACCCCACCUAGUAUCACUGGAGAACAGCAGUGACAAGACCGGUCUGCUCAGAAGAAAGCCUGUCUCCCAGCUGCCCCCAGGCCGUUCCCACAGCAGCUCGGAUGGUGGGUCAGGAGGCUGUGCCCUCCCCUCCCUGGAACUCUGUCAAGUGAGAACUCAGUCAUCAGCCGGCCUCACAGGAAGCUUUCACAGGGACCACCCAGCUGUAUGACGGAAAGAUAACCCUUCACUU